GUAACAAGGUUUCCGUAGGUGAACCUGCGGAAGGAUCAUUAACGUUGGGGACUAACAAUCCCUCAGCGAGAUAGAACCCUUGCCUUUUCGAGUACCACACGUUUCCUCGGCAGGUACGCCUGCCAAUGGGGACCACAACAAAACCUUUUGUAAUAGCAGUAAACGUCUUAAAAACAAAACUUUUAAAACUUUCAACAACGGAUCUCUUGGUUCUGGCAUCGAUGAAGAACG
rnacentral:misc_RNA from 1 species